rnacentral:siRNA from 1 species
CACCAUUGCUGCUGCUCUAAUGUC